GAUACCGGACGAAAACUGAAAACGGAAAAAAAUGUCGGUGGUCAGUCGUUGGUGCCGUGUGUCGAUAGUCUUUUUUUCCUCUCUUUUGUCUCUCAUAUACAUAUACAUUCUCGCUCACUUAGUGGGCAAAGAUGGCGGCUCCCUCUCACUCGUUGGUCCGCUCAGCAAGCUCGACGAGAGGGGCCGAACUGUGUGACGCAACCGUUGCUGUCACGUGACUGUUCCGUGGCUCGGCUUGCUCGCUGGGCCAGUGUGUGAUCUAACGUUUGUUACGGCGGCCGACGGCGGAGGAUACGCACCGGAGAGCGCAGCAGGAAACAGCAAAGACGGGAAAGACUACCCCAGUCGUCUCUCUCAUUUUGCACGAUAAUAGCGCAGACUCUCUUGGUCGCUAGGUCAGUGGGGGUGAGAAACUGGCUUGGCUUAUACGCAAAGCAACAGUCAGUCUUUUUCUCUCUCCUAUCGGCCCCGCGACAAAGCGCAACUCAAUGUCCAUUUUCUUCUUCGAGCGCGAUGUGUCGUUCUCGAAACGUGCGCGUAAAGCUAGAUCAUCGACGCUUUGAAUUGUCGCCAUCGUUCCUGUCCUUUUCGUCGAAAGGAUGGGAAAGGAUAGCGGUAAAGGUGUAUAAAGUUCAUUGAUUCCGUUCAUCUUGAUAGUAAUAACUGCAAGUCGUCAUUUUUUAUAUUGUUUUCUAAGAUUUCAAAGUAUAUUUAACGUUUUAAGAUUAAAGAAUUUUUAUUAAAUAUUCAAUCUUGAUUCUCCAUAAUUUUUUGUGAUUUAUAGAAUUUAAAAAUUCUGGAUUUCGUCAUCCUGAUUAUUCACAUCUUUUACGUAAUCUUCACGUUUCUCGAGAUUAACAAAUCUUUUGUCUCUCUCUCUUUCUUUCACUAAAAAUCGUAUAUAUAUUUCCAAUUUUAUACAAUAUUUCCCUUUAAAUCUUAAAGUGUUCAAAUAUAAAUUAAUUGCAAGUAUUCAAAUUUUUAAUUAACGCCAUCUGCGAAUACAUAUUUUAUAACCUUAUAAAAAUAUAAUCUUUAUUCUUAAAACUCUUGGAUUGUCCAAUUCUUUAAUCUCCGUAUAAUGUUAGAUCCGCGGUUCCGCAAAUUUAAUAUUUAUACACAGCAUGAUCUCAGCAGUGGAUACCGUGUUCCCCCAGCUGUAACGAAUAUUAUUGAAAGGCUCUGGGAUCACGGAAAACACUGAGCGAGCAUCAGCCAUACUUCAGUGGAUUCUUCUCUCGCUGAUUUUUGACGACCUACUUGCUUCCUCAUAAUUUAUGAUAGACGAUGAUGUUUAUUGCUAUGUAAUUAACAACAAUAUGUUUAUGCGGGGAUUGACUUUUAGCAAUAUAUAAUUCUCUGGAAUAUACAUACAUAAAUGUACAUUAGCAUUCAUUAUACAUACAUUAGCAUUAGCAAGUCUAGAUUUUUAUGACAUGUAUAUUAAGUAUUAAGUCUAACUGUAAUUUUUAUCGUCUUAUUGCAGAAAUCUUUUCUGUUCUUUGUUGUUAACAGUAUUAGUAAAACAUUAAUUUUUUCGGAAAUAUUAAAUAAGUAAGAUAUCCUAAGAUUCUGUAAUUUAAUCAUGUAAAUGGCUCUACCUGUAUGGUGGACCUAAACUUGUCCAAAUACACUGCAGAGUUCUGUGAUUGUACGAAACCCCGUGCAGGCCUAGGCCGCCGUUCACCUCUUGCCGCGUACUAUACUUUCUAAAGCUGCUUACUUUCGUAACUCGGCAAAUACCGGCCGCUGCGGAUUCUUUUUCCCGACCAGCCAGCCGGAGAACCAACCGGAUCGACACGGCACGUAUUUUUCUACUCUCGCGUACGAUUUUUUUUUACUAUACACUGACUAGAUUGAGAAAUCUCAGAAUUAACACAUGUCUUUUUCGUUGGUCUUCUUGUAUGUUUUAUACAUUUGAAUUUACGAAUUUAUGAUCAUUUAGCUCCACAACUCAAUUAUAAGUUAAAUAUGUGCAUACUAUUUAUCCACGCACUUUUAUUAUUUAUCCACGUAAUUCUCUAUUUAUAAUUCUCUUAAUAUUAAUAAUGUUCUUAGAACUGUACUCAUACAUUUAUUCUAGUUGAUUAUUAUUAUCUUAUAUUUUAUAUAUAUCUCAAAAUUGUUGUAAGAAAAAUAAAAAACUUACGUUUAUUGGCACUUGUCGCUACAUGUUUCUUUCAGAUUAGGAUUAGGAAUCCAAUCUCACAAAAUGCGUUUUAAUGAAACUUGUUAUUUUCCCCUUCCUAAUAAAAAAAAUAUAUUUGUAUCCGUGCAUGAUUAAUAUUAAUAUUAUAUCAAUUGCGCUGUGCAACUCGCAUUUAUUUACAAUUUCCAUAUACACGAGGCAUGUGUAUGUAGUGUUUUCCCCAUAUCUACUUAUUAUUAUUCCAAGAACUAGAGUCGAUAAUUCUUAAUUAUGGUAUCGACAAAUAACAUGACCAACUCGCUUAAACGCUGCUUUUAGCAAGGCACAUUUGAUGAUAACAAUGCUUAAUAAGCCACGAGUAUGUAAUAAAUUAUUAAUUGAGUAAAUGACAAGUUAUGUGUGCCAAUUAUUUGUAUAUGCUAUAUAUAAUAGAAAUUUCAACUCCUAAAAUGCAAUUUUAUGUUACAAAUAUAUAUAUUUUUCGCAUAUCACACGAGUAAUCAAGAAUUAAUUUGCUUAAUAUAUUAUUAAUAGAAAUUAAUACAUAAAUAUAUUAGAAAUCUAGUUAGAAAGUGUAUAACAAUAGUCACCUAAUGUGUAAUAGUUUUAUUAGUUUUCUAAAUAGUUAUAUAUUUCCCAACAUUUGUGUGCAGUUUUAUUGGAAACACUAUAUAUUGCCUAUCGCUAUGUAUUGCUUUAUAAUCGAGCACCUAGUGUUUAUGUUAAUCAUGUCUUGAUCUAAACGCACGUUACACAACUCAAUGCUUUUACAAAAACCGCAUAUGAUUGAGCUCAUAAUAUUUAAUCACAACAUUUACUCACAAUAUCAGGUGGCAAAAUUUCUUGAAAGGUUAGUUGCAGAGAACUUCACCGUUCAUUAUCUCGUAUUUUCGCAAUCGCGAGAUACUCAAUGUAGGAAAAUUGUUACCGAGGUAAAAAGGUUGACGUUGGAGCAAAACAAAUAGGACUUUAUUUUAUAUCACGUUAUUUGCAUACGCAUAUAAAAAUUCUUAAAAUUUUAACUACGAUUCGUUAUAAAACCUAAACUAUUAUUUUUGUUAACAAAUAGGAAUGCAAUAGGAUAAGAUUGUUUCAUGGAAUUUGUCAGAAAGGUUACAACAUUAAGAAAGUUACAUAAGAUAACGAUUUAUCAACUAUGCGGCCUUAGCAUUUAUAUGAAAAAAAUUUAAUGUCUAAUUUAAAUCUAACAUAUAUGUAUACAUAAAAAAGAAAAACAGCGUGAAGAUUUUUUUUCUAUUGUGACAAGAGAGCGUGGGACACGCAACCAUUUGCGAGUGCUAAGGCGCCAUUUUCUUACGCAGCGUCAUGUUGCGGCCAUCUUUCGCUAAGACCAAGCGUUUCCGUUUCCAUUUCGGAUCGCAUACCGCACUCGGAUUCCAUCCUCGCCAUCUAAUUUUACUCGUUGGCCCCGAUAUUAUAUCGUCUUGCUUCAUCGCACUGUACCUGAUUUCAGGAAAACAUUUCAGCUUGCCAAAGAAAUAAACGAAUUAGCUUUUCACAGUCAUAAAAAUGUUUCAAUAAAAAUUAAAUCAUAUUUUAUUAAUUUUGAUAACAUGUCCUUCAUGGUAAUAUUAUUGCUUAUUGUUGUAUAAAUUCAUUUUUAUAAUAUUAUAUUCACUUAUACUUUGUUACGUAGUAUAUAAAUAUCAUGCAAAAAGCGUGAUUGUCAAAACUCUACGACAACUUUAUCAGAGAUGAAUAAUUACAAAAUUUGCAGUCCUAACUCUAAUUCCGUCAUUGGAGUUUUAUGAAAAUCAGACUCGACGCCAAUGGUGCGGAUGACAUCAUUGCGAAACGGUUGGUUCGUGGGGCAAAGAGGCAGCGGUAAAGACCGUGGAUCAUUGCAUGAGGGCAGGAGGGGGUGUAGGCAAGGCAUAUGUGUGAUGCUAGAGAAGAGCAAAAUGCACGAGAGAGAUAGGUAGAAUAAAAGGAGAGGGGGAGAUACAUAAAGAUGCAAGGAAGCAAGAAGAGAGAGUGAGAGACUGAUGGUAGCCAUGAUGAGACGAGAAGAGCGGAAAGGUGCCACGUUAUAAGCACGCUGUAGUGAAUCUGUCGAAUGGAAGGGAUACAAGAAGGGGGUGCAAAGGGGGCAGCUAGGCCUUGAAGAAGCGAAGACGAAUAAAAGCACGCGACGCUUUAUGAACGGAACUUUAGUGCUGAAGUCAGCACGGUUAUUUCUCGAGCUGAAGUCAGCGCACCUUUCUCUCUAGAACGCGUCUAAAAUCCCUUACGAAUGUCCUUUCUAUUCGAUAUAUUCCUAUAUUCUAAUUUAUGAUGUUUAAUUAGUUUUAUAUUUAGAAGCUCUCGGGCUCUUGCGCGCGUGGGUGUGUUACAUAACGCAUAUUUCACGUAUCCGAAGGAGUACUAAAAAUUCUCGAAACAUCAUAAAUCGUGAAAACGUAGUCAGAUGAAAAAAGCAUACUGAGCUUGAAUAAGUGAUCAGUAAUGGACAAUGUGCUACAGUUAGACCAAAUAUCUUUAUCGUCACACGUACGCACACACUUCUAAGUUGCGUAAUCGACAACGAUAUCAUUUAUUAGGCAGUCUUUGAGCACAGUCGAGAUGUCGGCAAUUUUGCAUUCGCGUAUGCCAAUAUUACGUUGACUAACGGUGAUCGAUUACUCGUUCUCGAGAAAUUUAUGAGAAGAAUGAGAAACUCUUUUUAAUUUUUUAUUUUACAGAGAAUUAUACGCAAAGUCUUUGCAUCGUUAGUUUUAAAUUUCGAGUAUUUUCUAUUUCUAAAAAGAGGAGAACGUUAUUUCAAGUCCGAUAUUUUUUUGUGGAAACCUUGAAGUAUGAUAGCGAAAAAUGAUAUCUUUUCUUUCAUCCAUUUCUAUCAUAAGCCUGCACACAUAGAGGUCUCCAUGGUAUUCGCUCGUAUCUUCUUCGCCGAAAAGCCCACCCCGAUUUUUACCCUCACCCACCAUUCCCAGACGAUUUCUCGGUCGAAGAUGGCUCCUGUGAGGUUAUCGCUAGACCACGCCCUGCGAAACAGAGCUUUCCGCCAUGAACAAUAUUGAGGAGGACCAAGAUCUCAAGGACAACCGGAGCCGCUCCUGCGGGAAGCAUACCGCGACACUCGUGUUCCUUUCUUCCCGGAAAUCGUGAGCACGCGAGCGAGCCAAUCCGUGCGUCAUACUAUAUAAUGUAGGAAAAUUACUGGUCAUCAUACGUGGAAACGAUUAAAUGUUUUCUUAUCCUGGUUGUAGGAUGUAGGAUUGCCGAAGGUGAAGAAUAUUUUGAAAAAUUCAUAUUGGUGAAAAUAUUCUGACGAAUUAUUUGUGUGUAUGUGUGCGGAUAAUUCAUUUCUAAAAUUCUUAAAAAACGUAUGUGCGGAAAGAGUAUUAUAUGAUCCAAACACUGCUAGCAAUGAGAUUUCAACGUAUAUCUACAAUAUAUAAAUUGCUUUAAUUUGUACCAAUUACUUUGAGAAAUGUACACAAAAAUUAUCUGCUAUCAAUGCAAAUAAUUAUUUAAACUCCUUAUAUUGUUGCAUAAAUAAUGAUUCUUUUUCCCGUUUCCGGUAAGAACACCUGUCAUGAUUAUUUUUCAUCGAUAAUAAAAUAAUAAAUUAUCUCGGAAUAAAAUAAUUAUCUUGAAUAUCAACAACUGCUCGUCUGCAUCUCCUUCCUUUGAUUCUUUUUUCUCCUCCACCUUUUUUCGUUCUUGUUGACCCGGCAUGUAUGGCGGAUAAGCUUACGUAAGACAAACGUACCUACUUACUUACCAACCCACCUACUGACUAUUCGAGGGAUCAAGGCAAACCGGUAGGCAGGUAAGCAGGCAAACAGACUAGUAGGUAGGUAGAUGAGUGAGUAGGUGGGCACGAGUUGCGCGCAUGCUCCCAACCGAACCUGCCAAAUGGACAGGCGAUACAACAACGGAAAUACCAUUCUGCGUGGUGCUCCUCCCUCGCCCCUCGAAUGGUUCCUCGAUUACCCUUGCCCUCUCUCAAAGCCGAUCUCUACCAGCCGGCCCUCUAGCCGGGUAGACCGAAGAAGGGAAUGUUCAGGGUCCUACAAGGAUGACGGACGAUUCUCACGCUCGGUGACGUAACUGGUAUUACGGCUGAUCCAAUCAGGUCAGUUCUAUGAAAGCAAGAGUGGGAUUAGGGAUGUGAGUUAGUUAAGUUUUGUCAAAAUAAAGAAUUCAAUGCUAGAGUUCAUGAAACUAUCCUGUGCCGAAGCACUAGCACCUUUUUCCAGGAGACAGAUGCGGAACGUUAGAAAGAUAAGCAUGAAUGAGAAAUAAAAAUAAUGCGAAAAUUCAUGAAUAACUAGGAACCUGCGAGCGAAUUUCUGCGGUCGCCUCAUAGAUGCACUGGCCUAGUUUGCAAAGGGGUUAACGGAGGGUGGAGGAAGAGGAGUUUGGGGGCGUGGAUCUGUGUCACUGCACACGCGCGCUGUACCACUCGGUGCAUUCUUCGAUGUUGUUCUUGGCCCCUUUGCUAAACGCGGAAUCACGGAAUCUUCGCAACUUUCCUACUUAUACAAGGUAGCGCGGCAAAAUCCACCAUCGAACUCGCAGGAUGAGUGACUCCAGCUGGAACUCUUAACUGUAAUAUUAUUUUGUAAUUUUAUAAUAAAUAAUAAGAAGCGUGACAUUAUAAAAAUGAUAUUAAAAACUUUCUCUACUUAAAGAUAUCUUUAAUUAUUUCUUUUAAACAUUUCGCGUCUCUGACUUCUCUUUUCUGCUGAUUUCCUUCGUUCGUUCGUGAAGUUCCACAUCAGUGACCAUAAUAAAAGCAUAGUUAAUGCGUGGAUGUAGUUAAGAAAUGUAGGGCACCCGGUAUGCGUACGCAGGAAGCAUCACGCAAGCGUGCUUCUCCAGCGUCUGCGUGUCACAACUAUCAUAAGUGUAAUGUUGCGUGAUAUACCGUAAUGUGUGUUGCGUGCUCAAUCGCGAUCGCCACGAUAAAAUGUACCAUUGCAGAAUACGCUACGAAAAGUACAUUACGUUACGAAACAGUAUCCUCCCCAUUUAUUCAGUAACGCAAGUUAAAUAUGCGAUCCGUGCACAGCGAAAUUACUUUAUUAUUGCCUCUCUGCUUUUUUUACCCUACAAUGAAUUUCCAUUCCAACUACCAGGCGAAGAAAAAUUUCUGUUCGGUUCUCCCCUUAUCGCGUCUGUUACGCGAGGCAGCAUGCAAAUUGAACGUGUAAAGCGCGUAAAGCGCGCGUCAAGAAGAUUUCCACGAUGAGCAGCAUUCGCAAAAAGACGCGAGCGUCGGUAAUUAAUCGACCUUGCGAGCACUGAAGAAAAAGUUGCGGGCUAGAUUUAGCCGAUGCGGGGAGGGAUUCCCUGCCUCUUGCGGUUACGUGAACGAGCUCGCCAUUUUGCCUCGCUGCUGCUACUCCCGUUUGACACCGACUUGCGUUUCGACCUUCAAACGUCGUCGGAAAAAAGAGCCAUUGUCCGCGUGCCGAGGAGCUAGAGGGAAAUGAUGCCGAAAAGGAAUACGGAGGGGUGUUCAAUGUAUGCAACCGAAACGGCUAGACUCGUCGUCUUCCUGUGUCUCUCUCUCUUUUUACUGGUCUUUCUCGUAGCUUCGUCCAUCUUCUUUCAGCUCUCAAAGAGUGAUUUUCGUAAAAGGAAGUCACGGAUUUAUGUUUCCGCGCAUCCCGUCCAACGAUCAAAUCCAAGAGUCCGUUGUAUGUCUGUUCAUAUCUUUUCUGUUUCUACUUCUUCAUGCAAUCUCCUUGCAACGUGACCGACUUCGAUGACGAGGUUCGUGCAAUCAGUGCGCCGUGAUACGUCUGCCCGGAAGGACAGGGAUCAGCUUUUAUUCCGUUCCGAACGAGCGGUAACGCACAAGGCUCGCGCGCGCUCCCGCAACGUGCAGGUGCACGUGCAUUUCACGCUUUACGUCUCUCCGACGGCCCCGACGCGACGGUGCUAUGCGGAAGUGCACCGGAAGUGCAACAAAGGAUCUCUCGGAUGGUCAGACGAUAACCAGGAAGCGGAAGCGGCCGAACGAGUCGUUGUUAAGAAAGCAGGGCGGAAGAGCCAACCCUAUCGGUGGAUGGAUCGGGGAAUGAGGGAGAGGAUCGGGGGCAAAGGGGGACGGGCGGGGGCUUAAGAAAGCGAGGGAAGAAAAAAAGCGGUUCACCAGGAGGGUAGAGAGCUCGUUUCGACCUCGUGGUAGGCCUCGAUCGAUGUCGUCGCCAUGGUGACCGGGCCGGCACCGCGGUGCUCCACUACUGAUUAUUUAUGUCAAAGAUUCCCCCCGCGACCCUCCGAGGCAUGAAACGCAAACGCGAGCGAACCACCCCGGGCAGAGGGGCAAACGCUCGAUCUGGCAGCCUACUAGCCUACCCACGUGACACUGAAGUUGAGGGGUUCCGGGGAUGGAUAAACUGUGGACGGGGUAGAUGGAAUAUGUGGAUAGAUGCGAAGGGAGUGCAGAGAGAGAGAAGCCAAAAUUUGACGCUUUAUAUUUUAUUAAUUGUGUAAAUUGCAAUUUAUUUAUAUCCGUAUGUGGAAUGUGCAUUCAUGUAUGUUUUAUCAUUAACCACGUCCGUUUUUUUCGUGAAGCACAUCUAUUUUUGUUUUGCAAUUAAAACAUCGGUAAAUGAAUAUUUCCGCUAUCGCGAGAAAGAAGAAAAGAGGAGAACGGAAGAAGACGUGAAGAGGAAUCAAUGAAAUACGCGGUCAAAGAAGAGAAUAAAUGGGGCGCGUAGGUACAUAUAUAACCACGUCGAGAUUUAUUCAGGAUCUGGAACGAGCCCCUGACAUUCAUAAACAAUCUCACUUACGGUUUAUUAAUAAUAUAUCAAUUAAAAAGAGAGCAUCAUACCAAAGAAUGAAAAAAAAAAUGAUGAAAGAACGGCGAUGCGUUAUAAAUGAACGCGGUGGUAUUGCUAGAAAUUGUAGUUGCGUUUUAAUUGCCGACUUAUUUAUCAGUACGAGAAUAGAAUAGCGUUAACAAUGCGUCGAUGAGAGCGAGAGGACAACGUAAAAUGGCGCGCACGAAGAGCGAGGAAAGCGGCUUCUAUUCCCUGUGGGAAGGGUGCUUUCGACCCAGUUUCACCCUCGCAAGGUGGUGGCAAUCGAUACUGCGCCUAAGGGUCGCGUGAAACGCGAUCGUAGUGCCGCUAUUACGUUGAAGCAAGAUUGGGGUCCGCACACGUUACACGAUACGAAUCUGAUCUGGAAAAAGUGUAACUUGUCCCGAUGCUUGAGCACUCAUUAUUAUAUAUAUGCCGUCAUCUACAUGCAAUUGGAAAAUCCAAUGUUACGUAAAAUAAAUGUAAUCGCCGUUCUUGGCGCUGAAACGCGCUCAUAACCUAGAGACCAGAUGCGGAGUGAUUCGUCAGGCUUAAUAUAAAAGCGCGAUAAACGAGCGCCGUGAAACCCAAACGCCCGCAUUACAACGCUUUUAUCUAUCGCAUAACCUGAUGUGUGACAAAUGACGACUAUCGAGAGCUCGGCGAGGUUGAUAGAGCCAACGAUGGGCGGACACGCGACAUCGGACACGAUGGGUAGGAAAAGGAACGUGAAUCGUGAUCCGCUCCGCGCGACCGAUGUCGACGUGGGUAUUUGAGCAAUACGUGCGGCACCUGCCUGAAGUUAGCGGUAUUAGAAAGGCACUCAACAUCUUUUGCGAAAUUACAAAAGCUCAAGCUUUCAAAUUUGAAUUCAGUAAUUACUGAUAUUGCAGAAUAUUUAUUUAGGCAAAUAUAUUUAACAGUAGCGAAAUGAAGAAUAAUGCAUGAUUUUUAAUGUAGCAAAUAUCAGAAAAAA